rnacentral:rRNA from 1 species
UACGGGGGGGGCAAGCGUUGUUCGGAAUUACUGGGCGUAAAGGGCGCGUAGGCGGCCUUCUAAGUCGGACGUGAAAUCCCUCGGCUUAACCGAGGAACUGCGUCCGAUACUGAAAGGCUUGAAUCCGGGAGAGGGAUGUGGAAUUCCAGGUGUAGCGGUGAAAUGCGCAGAUAUCAGGAGGAACACCGGUGGCGAAGGCGGGUCUCUGGGCCGAAACUGACGCUGAGGAGCGAAAGCGUGGGGAGCAAACAGG